rnacentral:rRNA from 1 species
UAGGGAAUCUUCGGCAAUGGGGGCAACCCUGACCGAGCAACGCCGCGUGAGUGAAGAAGGUUUUCGGAUCGUAAAGCUCUGUUGUAAGAGAAGAACGUGUGUGAGAGUGGAAAGUUCACACAGUGACGGUAACUUACCAGAAAGGGACGGCUAACUACGUGCCAGCAGCCGCGGUAAUACGUAGGUCCCGAGCGUUGUCCGGAUUUAUUGGGCGUAAAGCGAGCGCAGGCGGUUUAAUAAGUCUGAAGUUAAAGGCAGUGGCUUAACCAUUGUUAGCUUUGGGAACUGUUAAACUUGAGUGCAGAAGGGGAGAGUGGAAUUCCAUGUGUAGCGGUGAAAUGCGUAGGUAUAUGGAGGAACACCGGUGGCGAAAGCGGCUCUCUGGUCUGUAACUGACGCUGAGGAUCGAAAGCGUGGGGAGCAAACAGG